rnacentral:rRNA from 1 species
CUACCAAGGUGAUGAUACGUAGCCGAACUGAGAGGUUGAUCGGCCACAUUGGGACUGAGACACGGCCCAAACUCCUACGGGAGGCAGCAGUAGGGAAUCUUCCACAAUGGACGAAAGUCUGAUGGAGCAACGCCGCGUGAAUGAAGAAGGCCUUCGGGUCGUAAAAUUCUGUUGUCAGAGAAGAACGUGCGUGAGAGUAACUGUUCACGUAUUGACGGUAUCUGACCAGAAAGCCACGGCUAACUACGUGCCAGCAGCCGCGGUAAUACGUAGGUGGCAAGCGUUGUCCGGAUUUAUUGGGCGUAAAGGGAACGCAGGCGGUCUUUUAAGUCUGAUGUGAAAGCCUUCGGCUUAACCGAAGUAGUGCAUUGGAAACUGGAAGACUUGAGUGCAGAAGAGGAGAGUGGAACUCCAUGUGUAGCGGUGAAAUGCGUAGAUAUAUGGAAGAACACCAGUGGCGAAAGCGGCUCUCUGGUCUGUAACUGACGCUGAGGUUCGAAAGCGUAGGUAGCAAACAGGAUUAGAUACCCUGGUAGUCCACGCCGUAAACGAUGAGUGCUAAGUGUUGGAGGGUUUCCGCCCUUCAGUGCUGCAGCUAACGCAUUAAGCACUCCGCCUGGGGAGUACGGUCGCAAGACUGCAACUCAAAUGAAUUGACGG